GUCUACAGCCAUGCCACCUUGAACAAGCCCGAUGUCUGAUCUCAGAAGCUAAGCAGGGUCGGGCCUAGUUAGUACUUGGAUGGGAGACCACAUAGGAAGACCAAGUGCUGUAGGCA
rnacentral:rRNA from 1 species